ensembl:lncRNA
AGUCAAGUGUACUGUUAGCAUUUUUCUUUCUCUUCUCCAGUUUCUGGAAGCAAAAAACAAUAAAGAAUUAAAGAGUACGGGAAAAAAUUCAUUUUCCUUAGUAGAUAUGAUUUUUUUUUCUUUUUUUUCUUUUGACGGAGUCUCAUCCUGUCUCCCGGGCUGGAGUGCAGUGGCACAAUCUCAGCUCACUGCAACUUCCGCCUCCCGGGUUCAAGCAAUUCUCCUGCCUCAGCCUCCUGCGUAGCUGGACUACAGGAGCUAUGCCUGGCUAAUUUUUUUGUAUUUCACUCAUCAUGUUGCCCAGGCUGGUCUCAAACUCCUGAGCUCAGGCAAUCCAUCCACCUCGGCCUCCCAAAGUGCUAGGAUUCACAGGCGUGAGCCACCACACCUGGCCCCUUUUGCCUAAUAUUAAUUUACUGAACUAAACAUCAUACACUUAUGGCCUUCCUUCUUUUAGUAAUUCAUAUCAGCAUGAAUAUUUAGAAAUAAGAAAAUUUUGAGGAGAAAGAUUUAGUAUGUAAAUAUGAACAUCUGCUAUCCACCUGAAGAGAGAUAUUUAAUUCUAAAGCUAGGACAUAUAUUUUGUAAAAACUAGUAGAGCCAGGCCUGCUGUCUGUAUCAGCCCUACCCAGGCAGGUUUGGGAUAAGGGAGGGAGUGAAGAGGGAAGGUAAGUCCCCAGAGUUCCCUUAUCUCAGCCACAGCAAGUAAAUCCCUGGAAAAAGCAGGAGACACUUUCCCGGCUAGUCCUCCUAGCCUCCCACCCUACCCCGCCCUCUCUCUAGGCCUCUUUUUAGAAUUUCUGAAAAAAGGAUAUGGUCAGAGAGAAGAAGGCUGGAGAGAAACAAAUGGGAAACAGCGAUUCCAGGCUCAGUAUGGGGUGUGUGUCAGAAAACUCAGGUCACCCUUGUUUUUUUUUUUUUUGAGACGGAGUCUCGCUCUGUCUCCCAGGCUGGAGUGCAGUGGCGCUAUCUGGGCUCACUGCAACCUCCGCCCCUCCAGGUUUUAAGCAAUUCUCUGCCUCAGCCUCCGGAGUAGCUGGGAUUACAGGAGUGUGCCACCAUGCCCCGCCAAUUUUUUUUUUGUAUUUUUAGUAGAGACGGGGUUUCACCAUCUUGGCCAGGCUGGUCUUGAACUCCUGACCUCAUGAUCCAUCCGCCUUGACCUCCCAAAGUGCUGGGAUUACAGGCGUGAGCCACCGCGCCCGGCUACCAUUGUUUGUUUUCUAGUCGUAAUGUUUUCACUUAUUUUAUUAGCUGAACGACCUUGGACAAGUACUUUCACCCUUUCUGUUAAAACAACUCAUUUUCCUACCAUCAUGUGCCUCUUUAAAAACAAGUAAGAGAAUUGUAUUGAUCAGAAUAACUUGCUUCUAGAAAUAUCUGGGGCAGGAAGGUCACUAACUGAUGGAAAGUACUAUUUCUUUUUCCUUGAGUACUAGAACUAGCCCAGUAUAACACUGCAUAUACUUUUCCUUUCUUUGAGUCAGAUCUCAGCUAGUAUACUCUAGUAAGUAUUGAUGAAAUUGUAUGAAAGGUGAAGUAAGUUUCUCUUUUGAGACAGGAGAGUGAACCUAUGUGCACUCACCUUCCCCCAUGACCUCACAGAAAUAAAAGUAAAUAAGCACAGGGGAAAAAAAAAAAAAA